rnacentral:misc_RNA from 1 species
ACGUUAAGAAAUGAACGGAUCUGGGAAAACGUCAUAGACGCGAAGACCGGAAGCGUCACAGCAAGCGAAGUUUCGUCAUUGAGGGAACUCGACAGAGAGGAUCUGAGCAAUAUCAUUGCCCUGAGUUCAGUUGAGCAAGAGCUGUCGGACGCCGUACGCAUCGCCGAGGAAACUACAGGGGGAAGCGCUCUUGCCGCAAAUCUGAUGAAGCA